CACACAUGCACCCAACCCUACCAUUAUCCAGGGAUAGCUGCUAUUAACAUUGUGACAUGUUUUUUUUAGUCUUCUUUUUCUAUAUAGACAACACUUCUGUGCUUAUUUUCACAUUUCAUAGCUGCCCUCAGUAUUCAUUCCAACUGGAUUAUCUUCAUAACAUGAUUUGUAGGAGUGAGGAAAGCCUAGCCUGAUUUAUGUCAUCCUACACUCCUGAGAUAUGGCCCUGGAUGGAUGUCCAAGGUGUAACUUGCAAGAGCUACCAAGCACUUCGGUAUCAGGUUAUAAGCAUGUGAAAGGCUUCCUUAUGCCCAUAACGACUUUGGCAGCUUUACUGACUUGACCUAGAGGGGAAGACAAACUUGAAAGAGCAAGAAAAAUUCCUCUGAAGGGAAAAUGGGGAUAAUACCACCUUCCUCCCAGGGUUGUUAGAAGUAAAUCCACUGAAGUAAUAUCUACAAACCAUCUGGUACCAUUCU